rnacentral:rRNA from 1 species
UACGUAGGUGGCAAGCGUUGUUCGGAAUUACUGGGCGUAAAGCGUGCGCAGGCGGUUCGUUGUGUCGGUGGUGAAAUCCCCGGGCUUAACCUGGGAAUGGCCAUGGAAACUGGCGAACUGGAGUGCGGCAGAGGGGGGUGGAAUUCCGCGUGUAGCAGUGAAAUGCGUAGAGAUGCGGAGGAACACCGAUGGCGAAGGCAGCCCCCUGGGCUAGCACUGACGCUCAGGCACGAAAGCGUGGGGAGCAAACAGG